UGGCAGAUUAAGGGAGGCCAAACAUAUGAUGACAGAAGAUGAUUUUACUUUGAGGAGUGGGCACACUGUACAAUAUACAGAUCAUGUAUCAUAGAAAUGUACACUUGAAACCUAUAUAAUCUUAUU